ACUUAAAUAGUUUAAUUUUAAAAAUUGAGAUUUGUGGUAUCUUAGAUGUUUAUAACUUUAAGUU
rnacentral:tRNA from 1 species